rnacentral:sRNA from 1 species
GGAGACAUUCAGCUGUGGCUCCUCUCACCCCAUUGAUUGUGAAGUUGGAUUUAGCUGAUCAGGCUGAUUGGGUGGGAAUCUCCUUCUUUUCUGUGCUCAACUGGUCCACCUGUAUCUCUCCUAAAGUUUCAGAGUUAGAUGAACCUUCACUUCUAGAGGACUAGUCUUUGAUCAAAGAUGUAUGAAUCUGCACUCACAUGGUAUGCUUCAAAACAAAGUAGCUUUUAUCCUUUCUCAAGCAGUUUGGGAACUCAGUGGAACAGUCAUUUCCCAUGGGAGGACUAGACAGGACUUGCCAUUCUCU